rnacentral:rRNA from 1 species
AUACGGAGGACGCGAGCGUUAUCCGGAUUCAUUGGGUUUAAAGGGUGCGCAGGCGGCCGUGCAAGUCAGCGGUGAAAGCCCGGGGCUCAACCCCGGAAGUGCCGUUGAUACUGCAUGGCUGGAAUGCGGUCGAGGCGGGCGGAACGGGGGGUGUAGCGGGGAAAUGCGUAGAAAUGCCACAGAACGCCGAUAGCGGAGGCAGCUCGCCAGGCCUGCAUUGACGCUCGGGCACGAAAGCGUGGGGAUCGAACAGGAUUAGAUACCCUGGUAGUCCACGCCGUAAACGAUGGGCGCUCGUCGUCGGCGGCAGACAGUCGGCGGCCAAGCGAAAGCGAUAAGCGCCCCACCUGGGGAGUACGGUCGCAAG